rnacentral:rRNA from 1 species
GACGAACGCUGGCGGCGUGGAUUAGGCAUGCAAGUCGAACGGUAGUAACCUUUCGGGGUUAUGAGAGUGGCGAACGGGUGAGGAACGCGUAGGUGAUCUACCUUCAAGUGGGGGACAACCCAGGGAAACUUGGGCUAAUACCGCAUGUGGCAGUAAUGCUAAAGCCGGCCUCUGAAUAUGCUGGUGCUUGGAGAUGAGCCUGCGUCUGAUUAGCUAGUUGGUGGGGUAAUGGCCUACCAAGGCGAUGAUCGGUAGCCGAACUGAGAGGUUGAUCGGCCACAUUGGGACUGAGACACGGCCCAGACUCCUACGGGAGGCAGCAGUGGGGAAUAUUGGGCAAUGGGCGAAAGCCUGACCCAGCAACGCCGCGUGAAGGAAGAAGGCCUC